rnacentral:rRNA from 1 species
AUGUCUUAUGACGAGUGGAGGUACCUAUUCAAGACACUAGCAUUCAGGAGCGUAGACCCGGCAGAACAUCCACGUCUACUCAAAAUAGCAGAUGAAGUUGCCAGCCAGUUGCACACACAAGGUUCACUUGUCGCAACAAAUGCUUACGCAGAUUUGUUGAGAAGAAAUCUCAAUGCCCAGUUUUGGCAUUGCCUAUUGGACAAGGGGAUAAGGAUGAUUAAAAGAAACAUCGGCAUGUAUGGUGUGCAUCCAAGCAUGCUUAUAGAAGAAGGGCACCCGGUGGACAUAACGGACUUUGCUAUGCAUCCACUUAGCAUGAUACCUUAUAUGAGUAAUGUUUCAAUCAAGAAGGAAUCACCAAGUGUGACAUUUGGGGAGUUGCUCUCAGAUCCUAGUGUUAGACCGAAAGAAGACUUCAUUCUUAUUUCCUGGGAAUCAAGGAUACCCCCUCAUAAUUUAUUUUCUAAUUUUGUUAUAAGUCGUGCUCAGGACACAGAUGAAGGGAGUGCCUUGCCAGGGAGGAAGUGA